AAUGGGGAAACCCAGUGUGUUUCGACACACUAUCAUUAACUGAAUCCAUAGGUUAAUGAGGCGAACCGGGGGAACUGAAACAUCUAAGUACCCCGAGGAAAAGAAAUCAACCGAGAUUCCCCCAGUAGCGGCGAGCGAACGGGGAGGAGCCCAGAGCCUGAAUCAGUGUGUGUGUUAGUGGAAGCGUCUGGAAAGGCGCGCGAUACAGGGUGACAGCCCCGUACACAAAAAUGCACAUAUUGUGAGCUCGAUGAGUAGGGCGGGACACGUGGUAUCCUGUCUGAAUAUGGGGGGACCAUCCUCCAAGGCUAAAUACUCCUGACUGACCGAUAGUGAACCAGUACCGUGAGGGAAAGGCGAAAAGAACCCCGGCGAGGGGAGUGAAAAAGAACCUGAAACCGUGUACGUACAAGCAGUGGGAGCCUCUUAAUGGGGUGACUGCGUACCUUUUGUAUAAUGGGUCAGCGACUUAUAUUCUGUAGCAAGGUUAACCGAAUAGGGGAGCCGAAGGGAAACCGAGUCUUAACUGGGCGUUAAGUUGCAGGGUAUAGACCCGAAACCCGGUGAUCUAGCCAUGGGCAGGUUGAAGGUUGGGUAACACUAACUGGAGGACCGAACCGACUAAUGUUGAAAAAUUAGCGGAUGACUUGUGGCUGGGGGUGAAAGGCCAAUCAAACCGGGAGAUAGCUGGUUCUCCCCGAAAGCUAUUUAGGUAGCGCCUCGUGAAUUCAUCUCCGGGGGUAGAGCACUGUUUCGGCAAGGGGGUCAUCCCGACUUACCAACCCGAUGCAAACUGCGAAUACCGGAGAAUGUUAUCACGGGAGACACACGGCGGGUGCUAACGUCCGUCGUGAAGAGGGAAACAACCCAGACCGCCAGCUAAGGUCCCAAAGUCAUGGUUAAGUGGGAAACGAUGUGGGAAGGCCCAGACAGCCAGGAUGUUGGCUUAGAAGCAGCCAUCAUUUAAAGAAAGCGUAAUAGCUCACUGGUCGAGUCGGCCUGCGCGGAAGAUGUAACGGGGCUAAACCAUG
rnacentral:rRNA from 1 species